rnacentral:rRNA from 1 species
AGGGAAUUUUCCACAAUGGGCGAAAGCCUGAUGGAGCAACGCCGCGUGCAGGAUGAAUGCCUUCGGGUUGUAAACUGCUUUUAUCUGUGACGAAUAUGACGGUAGCAGAUGAAUAAGGAUCGGCUAACUCCGCGCCAGCAGCCGCGGUCAUACGGAGGAUCCAAGCGUUAUCCGGAAUUACUGGGCGUAAAGAGUUGCGUAGGUGGCAUAGUAAGUAGAUGGUGAAAGCGUGCAGCUCAACUGCAUAUACAUCAUCUAAACUGCUAAGCUAGAGGACGAGAGAGGUAGAUGGAAUUCCCAGUGUAGGAGUGAAAUCCGUAGAUAUUGGGAGGAACACCGAUGGCGUAGGCAGUCUACUGGCUCGUUCCUGACACUAAGGCACGAAAGCGUGGGGAGCAAA